CGGCCUGAGAAGCUGAGCCGAAGAUUCUUUUGCCAUCGCUUACUAGUCUUGGUUGAUUUUUCUUGUUCUUCCUUUCCCUUACCCACAAAUGCUCGUAUCCUUUUCAAUGCAGUGGCAACAGUUUCAUCAUCCAUAUUAGCGAAGCAUACCCUAAACCAACCGGGCUCCUUGCAGUGGAAAGAAGAACCUGGCGAAACAUUGAGCUUCACUUCGUUAAUAAUCACCCUCCAUAACGCCAUUUCCCCGUCGAAUGUUUGUUCCUCAAGAAGAUGGUGCAAGUCCAUCCAAACAAAAAGACCGGCAUUGCUCUUUAAACAAGUGAUCCCUACUUGUUCAAGUCCUUUUGUGAACAAACUGUGUCUUUUCUUUAACCUUCUUGAACUUUCCGCCAGAAAAUCAUCUACAAACACCUCAUCAGAAAGCAUCGCGGCGAGCAAAUAUUGAGUUUGUGAAGAGACUAAUCCAAAGCUUGACAUCUUACGUGCACAGCAAACAACUGCAUCAUUGUAUGAGUAAAUGAUGCCAACUCUAAAACCAGGAAGACCCAUGUCCUUGGACAAGCUAUAAACAAUGUGAAUUAGAUCGCGGUUGCAAUCCAUUUCUCGUAUGAUCUCAGAGAUGCUUACGAAGUUAGGGGAGCUGAAGAUAGUAGCUGCAUAAAUUUCGUCUAUGACCAAGUGAAUGUUUC
rnacentral:lncRNA from 1 species